rnacentral:rRNA from 1 species
UACGUAGGGUGCAAGCGUUAAUCGGAAUUACUGGGCGUAAAGCGUGCGAAGGCGGUGAUGUAAGACAGGUGUGAAAUCCCCGGGCUUAACCUGGGAACUGCAUUUGUGACUGCAUCGCUGGAGUGCGGCAGAGGGGGAUGGAAUUCCGCGUGUAGCAGUGAAAUGCGUAGAUAUGCGGAGGAACACCGAUGGCGAAGGCAAUCCCCUGGGCCUGCACUGACGCUCAUGCACGAAAGCGUGGGGAGCAAACAGG